rnacentral:rRNA from 1 species
CACAUUUACUUGGAUAACUGUGGUAAUUCUAGAGCUAAUACAUGCAAACAGAGUUCCGACCGGAGACGGGAGGAAUGCUUUUAUUAGAUCAAAACCAAUCGGCGGCGGGUGCGUUCGCGCGCCCGUUCGCCGCUCAACCUGGUGACUCUGAAUAACUUUCGGCUGAUCGCACGGUCCAGCACCGGCGACGCAUCUUUCAAAUGUCUGCCUUAUCAACUGUCGAUGGUAGGUUCUGCGCCUACCAUGGUCGUAACGGGUAACGGGGAAUCAGGGUUCGAUUCCGGAGAGGGAGCCUGAGAAACGGCUACCACAUCCAAGGAAGGCAGCAGGCGCGCAAAUUACCCACUCCCGGCACGGGGAGGUAGUGACGAAAAAUAACGAUACGGGACUCAUCCGAGGCCCCGUAAUCGGAAUGAGUACACUUUAAAUCCUUUAACGAGGAUCAAUUGGAGGGCAAGUCUGGUGCCAGCAGCCGCGGUAAUUCCAGCUCCAAUAGCGUAUAUU